rnacentral:tRNA from 1 species
GGCCUCGUCGCCAAGUGGAAAGGCAGCGGUUUGCAAAACCGCCACCCCCGGUUCGAAUCCGGGCGAGGCCU